rnacentral:rRNA from 1 species
GACGAACGCUGGCGGCGUGCUUAACACAUGCGAGUCGAACGGAAAGGCCCUGCUUUUGUGGGGUGCUCGAGUGGCGAACGGGUGAGUAACACGUGAGUAACCUGCCCUUGACUUUGGGAUAACUUCAGGAAACUGGGGCUAAUACCGGAUAGGAGCUCCUGCUGCAUGGUGGGGGUUGGAAAGUUUCGGCGGUUUGGGAUGGACUCGCGGCUUAUCAGCUUGUUGGUGGGGUAGUGGCUUACCAAGGCUUUGACGGGUAGCCGGCCUGAGCGGGUGACCGGCCACAUUGGGACUGCGAUACGGCCCAGACUCCUACGGGAGGCAGCAGUGGGGAAUAUUGCACAAUGGGCGGAAGCCUGAUGCAGCAGCGCCGCGUGCGGGAUGACGGCCUUCGGGUUGUAAACCGAUUUCGCCUGUGACGAAGCGUGAGUGACGGUAAUGGGUAAAGAAGCACCGGCUAACUACGUG